CCCCAAAUGCACCCAGAGGCCCCCAAAAUGCCCCAAAUUCCAAUCAAACCCCUGGCAAAGAGGGAUCACCCAGCACUCUGGGACAGGAACACAGUGGGCUGUGCUGGGGGCACUGGGCUGUACUGGGAGGGCACUGAGGGGGCACUGGGCUGUACUGGGAGAGCCCUCAUCCCCAAAGCCCCUCCCCUGGGCAUCCGUGCCAGGGUCUGGGAACCAUGACGGGGUUGGAUCAAGGGGUGCACUUGAUGAUCUGGGAGGUCUUUUCCAAGCCGGCUGAUUCUGGGAUUCUCUGGGUGCCAUUGCCAGGGCAGCACAUGCUGGAGGCUCUGUCCACAGGGGAUAGAUGUGUCUGUGCAGACAGGGAGACAAGGGCAGUCUGCAAAGAGGUGGGGUUAGAAAAGCAGGAGAAGUUGUGGGGUGGUUGUGGAAGGAGAAAGAAGCCCCCAGGCCAGUGCAAGCAGGCCCCCCUGGGCUUGCACAUCAUCUGCCCUCCCUGCAGGUUCCUGUGCUGGAGAGCAGGCCCUGAGGUGUCCCUGAGCAAUGGCCCGGAGGUGAGCCCAGAGCUGUCCCUGAGGUGGCCCUGAGAAGAAGUGGAAGGCAGAGGUGGUGCUGAGGCAGGAGAGCCCCGUGCUGGGGAAGAGGCUGAGCUGGGAGUGCCCAGCAGGGAGAAGGUGCUGUGUCCAUGCCCUGUGUGCCAGCAGGAUUUGUCCUUCCCAAAGCUUGGGCAGAUGGAGGAGAAGGCUGCGAGGAAGACGAAAAAGCCACGGGCCCCCCAGGCAGGCCCCGAGCUGAGGACGGAGAGCACGGAGGACAAAUCCCCCCGGCAGAGCCUGGUGGGAGAGGCCGUUUUGAAGGGCUCCCCGGCGCAGGAAGGCAGCGGGGAGGAAAAGGCCCGGAGAUGCCCCCGGAGGAGGGGCUGCAAAGCCAGCCCAGGGAGCUCUGAGGAGGAAAGACCCGUCCUGUGCCGGGAAGGCGGCCGGAGCUUGAGCCGGAGCUCCGAGCUGGUGGUCCCUGAGCAGCCUCCCAGCAGGGAGAAGCCCUUCAGGUGCUUGGAAUGUGGGAAGAGCUUCAGGGACAGCUCCGACCUUCUCAGGCACCAGCACAUCCACACUGGGGAACGGCCCUACACGUGUGGGGAAUGUGGGAAGAGCUUCAGCCAGAGCUUCAGCCUCCGCACCCACCAGCACAUCCACACUGGGGUGUGGCCCUACAUGUGUGGGGAAUGUGGGGAGAGCUUCAGGAGCAGCUCCCACCUCCGCACCCACCAGCGCAUCCACACUGGCGAAGUGCCCUACUUGUGUAGGGAAUGUGGGAAGAGGUUCAGGAACAGCUCUCACCUCCGUACCCACCAGCUCAUCCACACUGGGGAACGGCCCUACAAGUGCUUGGAAUGCGGGAAGAGGUUUAGGGGCAGCUCAGAUCUCCUCGUGCAUGAGCGGACACACACAGGGGAGAGGCCCUUCCGCUGCACCGACUGCGGGAAGGGCUUCAACCAGAACUCCACCCUCAUCAGACACCGGCGCAUCCACACCGGAGAGAGGCCCUACAAGUGUGGGGAGUGUGGGAAGAGCUUCACCCAGAGCUCCACACUUGACCAGACACCAACGGACCCACCAGUAAGAGAAGCCCCUCGAGUGCCCCGACUACGGGAAGAGCUUUGACUGCUGCUCCCACCCUGAAUGACCCCCUGAUGGUGAGGCAACCCUGUCACCCAGGGUGGGGUGACACGGGGGGAACACAGGGGGUCCCCAUUCCUGAUCCAUCCCGGGGCCGUUUCUGCCUCCGCAAACUCGGCUCCACCCCUUGGGAUCCUCCAACCCCUCCCAGUGCUCCCCAAUAACUGGGACUGGGCAGAACUGGGAAGCUGCCCCCCAAUAACCAGAACUGGGGCAAAUGGGAUCGUACUGGGAGCACCUGGGCCCCUGCUGGGGUCAUACUGGGGUCUUACUGGGAAUGACUGCAAUGUUACUGGGAGUGUGUGAGAGGGACUGCAGCCAUACUGGGGAUGAGUGGGAUCAAACUGGCUUCGUACUGGAAGUGUCUGGAAGUUCCUGGGAUCAUACUGGGGGUGACUGGACUCAUACUGGGAUCAUACUGGGAGCAACUGGGACCAUGCGGGGGGAAAUGGCAUCAUCGAGGCAGGGACUGGGCCAUUCUGAAAUGGAGGGAGUAGGCUGUGAUAUCACAGAGGGACCCACGGCACACAGGUGGGGCUGAACUCUGGGGAUGUGGGGCCUUGGCUCUUUGUUUUCUAGGCACCAUUCCAGAAUAGAGAGGAUAGGCUGGGACAUCACAAAGGGGCCCAUAGCACAGAGGUGAGGCUGCAAAGCGGGGCAGUGGGAUGUGUGUAUUCCAGGGGCCUUUCCAAAUCGGAGAGGAUAGGCCAUGACAUCACAAAGAAGCCCAUGGCAGGCAGGGGGGGCUGCAUUCUGACAAUGUGGGGCAUCGGUUCUUUCGUUGCCAGAGGUUAUUCUGGAAUGGAGAGGAUAGACUAUGACAUCACAAAGGGGUGCAAGUUAAAUGGGUAGAGCUGCUCUGUGGGGUACGAGGUGCUGGGUCUUUGUUUGUCAGGGGCCAUUCUGGAAUGGAGACAAUAGGCCGUGACAUCACAAAGGGGCCCAUUGCACACGGGUGGGGCUGCCAUGUGGGUGUAUAGGUCAUUGUCUCUUUGGUUGUCAGGGACCAUUCCAGAAUGGAGAGUGACAUCACAAAGGGGCCCAUGGCAACAUGGGAGGGAUAGCAUGGCUGUCCCUAUGACAUUUUUCGGCUCUGCUCCUCUGGGAAUACAGAAGGCCAGUGCAAAAAAAUCACAGAGGCAAAGGCACAUACUGUGGAUCCCCUCAGAGUGCAACAUUCUGACCAAAUUUUCCAUCUCAGGUUCUUUAACACUGACCUCUUACUGCAAGGAUCUCCUUGCCAUUCAAUCUGUACUUGUAAGUUUGAGCACCACUGGGAAAAAAAAAAAAAAAACAAAUGACAAGGGAUGUGCUUGGAUUCACCAAAAAACACAGCCUAUCAGAGGUAACAUCUGAUUGGGACUGGCAGGAAAAUGCUCACCUUGCUCGUCUGCCCCCCGGUGUCGAUAGCCUGCCCCACCGCUCUCAUCCCACCUCCAAAGAAAGAACACAAAGACACUCACAGAACUACCUCUAACAAGAAGUGUCUGUCAGACCUACAAAGACAGAGGCACAAGAUUCCUCCGUGGGGAAGAUUCCCUGCUCUGCCCUGCACACCCCAGUGCUGCGGCCAAAACUCAGCCUCUCUGCUUCCCUCUCCUAAGGGACUCGUACCUGUACCCAGCUCUCGUGCCCUCUCUGGCUCAGAGCCCUCGACUUGUCUUACAGAGAGCUGGGCAUGUCAUUCCACCUUCCAAAAGCAGGUCCCUUUGGCUGGCUCAGGGGUUCCUGCAGUCACUGGUUUAUUCUCUUCGUCACCUCCAAGAAAGGAAACCCAAAGCAAUGCACGGCUUCAGCUGCACAUGGGCCAAACCCCAACAAUUCCACCACUCACUGUCUCCAAAGUGCACCGAGGUCCUCGAGUCCCCGGCGGCCACCAAAGUCGGAGCCUGCAGCUCUCACUGCAUGGCACACCUUGGGUAGGGACAGAAAAUAUUCUGUGGCAUUUCUGAAAGUUCCCUGGACCCCUGUUCCUCCUUGCUGCCUCCACGACUCACCUGGAAUGUUCAGCUCUUCACAGAGGCUACCGGGACGGCACAUCCAAAGAGAGGAGGGUGUUGUGCUCUGGAUUAAGCUGUGAACUGCCCAGAGCAUUUGCAUUUUUUAUUUAAGACUUUUUAAAAGCUUUUGCUUUUUUAUAACCUCUAAUUAGAGUCCGGAGACAGAGUCACACACUCUUCUCUAAGAGAAAUUCUUUUUAAUGUAGUGAUAAAGAUACGAUAUUUUGCCAAAAGGCUUUUAUAAUGGCCAGUCUUCGUGAGUGAAAAAAAAAAAGGCUUUUACAGGAGUAAAAUACAACCAAGGAAAAAGCAUUUCACUGAAACAUUCAGCACAAAGAGCCAUUCCACAGGAAACACCCACUAAAACAAUCCAUAUACCAGCUUUAGUCAAACACAGUUCAUUGCUUUUAAGUUACCCACAAGAGAAGGAAAAGAGUAAAAGAAAACAGACUAAAAGAAAUAAAGAAAGAGAGAAGGAGAAAGGGGAGAAAAAAUGGUUGCUGAUGAGUCAAUGAUUCACAUGGUACCAGUUGGAGAGGAAGAAGAGACAGGAAGAGGAGAGGAUGUCCUCUAGGCUGAUGUUUUAUUCCCUUUGGAGUGAGUGCAGCCUCCGAGGGUUGAGCCCUGUCUGGCUGGGCUGGGCCUGUCCUGGAGAGACUCAGGCCUGGCUGGGCUGCCCCAGGUAGACGUUGCAGGAAGAAGAGCCCAGGCCGCCUGUGUCUGCUGUCCCUGGGGCUCAGCCUGUGUCCCAUUCCUGCCCAGGGGCUGAGCCCACCUCUGCCUCGGGGCCUUGGGCAAAGGGCUGGCGAGGGAGAGGCCCAGGAGCCUUGGGGCCUGCCCAGCUUUCCUCCUCCCUGGGGGCUCCUGUAAAGUAAACAGGCCAAGUAAACAGGGACCCGAGAGACAGGAAAGGAGAGGAGUGAACUAAGCCCUCAGUGAAACCCCCACUCACACAGGUGUGUUUUACGAGGUUGUCUUACCCACCCCAGGAUAACAGAAUUACCCCCAGCAGAGGCUGCAGGCUCACAAAGAGAGCGGCAGCUCCACAGAAGGCAACGUUGUCCUUCCUGUGAAGCUUGAGAACCCCCAGCAUGAGCCACCUGCAUUUUUAUCCACUUAGCCGGUGACGUCUCCCUGGGCCGGUGUGGCAGCACCGCCCAGCCAGAGGCCCUCGGUCCCUGCCCCGUUCUGUGAGUGCCCCCCUUCAGCCAUGCGGGAGAACGUGGGGAUUCCCCUCGCACUUGCGCUUUUUCACUCAAGGGCUCUGAUCUAUUUGGGUCUGGGGGCUUUACUUCAUCCUCUCCUCUUUGGUUCCUCUUUCAAAAACCCUCUACAGACAACCAGCCAAUCAAAGAACACCAAUUAAAAUAGUUUAUACAAGAAACUCUCUCUCCAAGGACGAAGCUCCCGUUUAUCAGUGAACUUGGCAGGCCAAGAACAAAACUUUUGCAGGUGGCUGGACCAAACACAGACCAAAAGAUAUCAACAAUCCCUGAUACACCUGCCCUGAUUUCUGUGUUGAAGAUGCUUCUUCAGCCCUUCUCUGGAGCUGCAGGGGCAGUGCCUGUGUGCAGAGUUGGAGGGAAGAGACUCCCAGCACAGCAGCACAGCC